AUUGAACGCUGGCGGCAGGCCUAACACAUGCAAGUCGAACGGUAACAGGAAACAGCUUGCUGUUUCGCUGACGAGUGGCGGACGGGUGAGUAAUGUCUGGGAAACUGCCUGAUGGAGGGGGAUAACUACUGGAAACGGUAGCUAAUACCGCAUAACGUCGCAAGACCAAAGAGGGGGACCUUCGGGCCUCUUGCGAUCGGGUGUGCCCAGAUGGGAUUAGCUAGUAGGUGGGGUAACGGCUCACCUAGGCGACGAUCCCUAGCUGGUCUGAGAGGAUGACCAGCCACACUGGAACUGAGACACGGUCCAGACUCCUACGGGAGGCAGCAGUGGGGAAUAUUGCACAAUGGGCGCAAGCCUGAUGCAGCCAUGCCGCGUGUAUGAAGAAGGCCUUCGGGUUGUAAAGUACUUUCAGCGGGGAGGAAGGGAGUAAAGUUAAUACCUUUGCUCAUUGACGUUACCCGCAGAAGAAGCACCGGCUAACUCCGUG
rnacentral:rRNA from 1 species